GAUGAACGCUAGCGGGAGGCUUAACACAUGCAAGUCGAGGGGUAUAGUAGCAAUACUAGAGACCGGCGCACGGGUGAGUAACGCGUAUGCAACCUGCCCUUUACAGGGGGAUAGCCCGUCGAAAGGCGGAUUAAUACCCCAUAAUAUGGUACACUCGCAUGAGUGAACUAUAAAAGCUGCGGCGGUAAAGGAUGGGCAUGCGUGACAUUAGCUAGUUGGUAGGGUAACGGCCUACCAAGGCUACGAUGUCUAGGGGUUCUGAGAGGAAGGUCCCCCACACUGGUACUGAGACACGGACCAGACUCCUACGGGAGGCAG
rnacentral:rRNA from 1 species